rnacentral:lncRNA from 1 species
CAGGAAAUGUCAGGGCAAGAAUCACAGACCCAAUGCCUAGCCUGGUGGGGGCAGGCUCCUUCGGGCUCACUGGUGGAUUUCUAGCCAGGAUCAUGCUUCUGCAGAGAGCCUGUUUGAUCACUGUUGUUGAAUGGAGGAAGAGAUGCGCCGUUUGAUGACCCAUGUCAACACAUCUCAAAUCUCAGUGUAAUCGAACUCUUUCCCUAAAACUCCACGGGAAGCAACAUGCUACGCUUGGGGUAAUGCACCAAAGAGGGUACGGGUUUGAUCGCAGCUACGAUCCAGGCAGAGAUGCUCUAAUUCACUCAUCUUGGAGAACAGCCAUCUAUUCCUGAAGAUGACACAACUUAAUUAGACAGAAUAAGAUAAAACCAGUAUCUGGAAACAAGAGUGUGCAUUAUCCAAAGGUCCCUAGAAAAUAAC